rnacentral:tRNA from 1 species
GAGGAUUUAGCUUAAUAAAAGUGAUUGAUUUGCAUUCAAUUGAUAUAGGAAUAUAGUCUUGUAAUCCUUA